CAGGGCUGGCAGUGACAUGGGU
rnacentral:miRNA from 1 species